rnacentral:rRNA from 1 species
AUUGAACGCUGGCGGCAUGCUUUACACAUGCAAGUCGAACGGUAACAGGCCUUCGGGUGCUGACGAGUGGCGAACGGGUGCGUAAUGCAUCGGAACGUACCCAGAGGUGGGGGAUAACGCAGCGAAAGCUGUGCUAAUACCGCAUGUGAUCUGAGGAUGAAAGCGGGGGACCGCGCAGCAAUGUUUGGCCUCGCGCCUUUGUAGCGGCCGAUGUCGGAUUAGCUAGUUGGUGGGGUAAAGGCCUACCAAGGCGACGAUCCGUAGCUGGUCUGAGAGGACGACCAGCCACACUGGGACUGAGACACGGCCCAGACUCCUACGGGAGGCAGCAGUGGGGAAUUUUGGACAAUGGGCGCAAGCCUGAUCCAGCAAUGCCGCGUGAGGGAAGAAGGCCUUCGGGUUGUAAACCGCUUUUGGCAGGAACGAAACGGUGUCCGCUAAUACCGGGCGCUAAUGACGGUACCUGCAGAAUAAGCACCGGCUAACUACGUG